CAAUCAUGAACCUACUGGAUGUGUUUUUGUGAUGUUGUAUGACUACUUUAGGUGUUGGAAAUUCGUACUCGGUUGGAGUGAUUUUGGUUUGGGUGGAAAGUAAACAGCUUUAUGCGAGCCAAUUGUGAGAUGUGAGAAACUCUAAGGGUUAUUCUUGACUUGUUUAAGAAUAGGAAAUGGUCAGGAUAGUUGGCUGUGAACACCCUUAAGUUUCGCAUCUCACUUCCGCCUUUGUGAUGGGAAAGAGCACUCUUCAGAAUAUGUGAGACUAUUGGCUGCAUGAAUUUGGAAAAAUCCAAAACAAUAUCAAUUUCUUUUUACUUGGAUACAUUAAUUUUUUUUUUGUGGUUCCCUUUUGCUUG
rnacentral:lncRNA from 1 species